rnacentral:rRNA from 1 species
GGUUAAGUUAGAAAGGGCGCACGGUGGAUGCCUUGGCACUAGGAGCCGAAGAAGGACGGGACUAACACCGAUAUGCUUUGGGGAGCUGUACGUAAGCGUUGAUCCAGAGAUUUCCGAAUGGGGGAACCCACUAUCUUUAGUCGGAUAGUAUCCUUACGUGAAUACAUAGCGUGAGGAAGGCAGACCCAGGGAACUGAAACAUCUAAGUACCUGGAGGAAGAGAAAGAAAAAUCGAUUUCCUGAGUAGCGGCGAGCGAAACGGAAAGAGCCCAAACCAAGAAGCUUGCUUCUUGGGGUUGUAGGACACUCUAUACGGAGUUACAAAAGAAAGUUAUAAAUGAAGCGGUCUGGAAAGGCCCGCCAAAGACGGUAACAGCCCGGUAGUUGAAAUGGCUUUCCCUCCAGAGUGGAUCCUGAGUACGGCGGAACACGUGAAAUUCCGUCGGAAUCCGGGAGGACCAUCUCCCAAGGCUAAAUACUCCCUAGUGACCGAUAGUGAACCAGUACCGUGAGGGAAAGGUGAAAAGCACCCCGGAAGGGGAGUGAAACAGUUCCUGAAACCGUGUGCCUACAAGUAGUUAGAGCCCGUUAAUGGGUGAUAGCGUGCCUUUUGUAGAAUGAACCGGCGAGUUACGAUUUGUUGCAAGGUUAAGCGGAAAAAGCGGAGCCGUAGCGAAAGCGAGUCUGAAUAGGGCGCAUAAGUAACAGGUCGUAGACCCGAAACCAGGUGAUCUACCCAUGUCCAGGAUGAAGGUAAGGUA